UACGAAGGGGGCUAGCGUUGCUCGGAAUCACUGGGCGUAAAGCGCACGUAGGCGGAUGUUUAAGUCAGAGGUGAAAGCCUGGAGCUCAACUCCAGAACUGCCUUUGAUACUGGGCAUCUUGAGUCCGGAAGAGGUAAGUGGAACUGCGAGUGUAGAGGUGAAAUUCGUAGAUAUUCGCAAGAACACCAGUGGCGAAGGCGGCUUACUGGUCCGGUACUGACGCUGAGGUGCGAAAAGCGUGGGGGAGCAAACAGG
rnacentral:rRNA from 1 species